UACGUAGGGUGCGAGCGUUGUCCGGAAUUAUUGGGCGUAAAGAGCUCGUAGGCGGUGUGUCACGUCGUUCGUGAAAACCUGCAGCUUAACUGUGGGCGUGCGGUCGAUACGGGCAUCACUGGAGUUCGGCAGGGGAGACUGGAAUUCCUGGUGUAGCGGUGAAAUGCGUAGAUAUCAGGAGGAACACCGAUGGCGAAGGCAGCUGCCUGGCCUGAGA
rnacentral:rRNA from 1 species